UACGGAGGGUGCGAGCGUUGUCCGGAAUCAUUGGGCGUAAAGGGCGCGUAGGCGGCCCGGCAAGCGUGCGGUGAAAGUCGGGGGCUCAACCCCCGAUCGGCCGUGCGAACUGCGGGGCUGGAGCACUGUAGAGGCAGGCGGAAUUCCGGGUGUAGCGGUGGAAUGCGUAGAGAUCCGGAAGAACACCGGUGGCGAAGGCGGCCUGCUGGGCAGUUUUGCUGACACUGAGGCGCGACAGCGUGGGGAGCAAACAGG
rnacentral:rRNA from 1 species